AUUACCUUGGGAUUUCAGAGAUAAAGUGACCUGACCCUCAUCACACACAAUUAGUAUGUGUCAGAGGGAGAAGCUGAACUCCGGCCUUCCUGGUUCAAAAGCUGCUCUUCUAUGCCCUAUAUUAUGGAGGAAAUAAAAGCUAACACCUUUGGUACAAGUUGCUAUCCUGAUGUUAUUCACUUAUAUUUAUAAUUCUAUAGACUGCUGCACAGGACUCUGAUAAGUCCAUUAAAAGAGGAAGAAGGGAAAAAAACCCAACCCAACAACAACCAGCAGAGAGUCAUCUGCUCCAAAGGACUGGACCACUCCAUGAAUGUGAAGAGUAGCCAGACUCAGAAGCCUAUUGUGGUUCCAUGUGUCAGAGAGGGGAAUUGAACCCAGAACUUCCUGACUCUAAGGCCAACUCCCUCUCUCCCACCAAGCUGCUUCUUUUAGUAGUUACACAGUAAUUAUCCAUAGAUGAUCUCAUAUUCUCCUUCUCUGCUCUUUGAAAAAUAAAGACCAUGAAAAUUUCUUUGGUGCUAGAGAAUGUGGGUCUCAGUGGGAUUGUGAAAUACUUGAUUAUGUUAAUGUUUUUCUGAGACGUUCUCAGUCUGAUGCAUUACUAAUUACUGUCUUCUGU